rnacentral:misc_RNA from 1 species
UCAAACUUGGUCAUUUAGAGGAAGUAAAAGUCGUAACAAGGUUUCCGUAGGUGAACCUGCGGAAGGAUCAUUACUGAUUUGCUUAAUUGCACCACAUGUGUUUUUCUUUGAAACAAACUUGCUUUGGCGGUGGGCCCAGCCUGCCGCCAGAGGUCUAAACUUACAACCAAUUUUUUAUCAACUUGUCACACCAGAUUAUUACUAAUAGUCAAAACUUUCAACAACGGAUCUCUUGGUUCUCGCAUCGAUGAAGAACGCAGC